GAUGAACGCUGGCGGCGUGCCUAAUACAUGCAAGUCGAGCGAACGGACGAGAAGCUUGCUUCUCUGAUGUUAGCGGCGGACGGGUGAGUAACACGUGGAUAACCUACCUAUAAGACUGGGAUAACUUCGGGAAACCGGAGCUAAUACCGGAUGAUAUUUUGAACCGCAUGGUUCAAAAGUGAAAGACGGUCUUGCUGUCACUUAUAGAUGGAUCCGCGCUGCAUUAGCUAGUUGGUAAGGUAACGGCUUACCAAGGCAACGAUGCAUAGCCGACCUGAGAGGGUGAUCGGCCACACUGGAACUGAGACACGGUCCAGACUCCUACGGGAGGCAGCAGUAGGGAAUCUUCCGCAAUGGGCGAAAGCCUGACGGAGCAACGCCGCGUGAGUGAUGAAGGUCUUCGGAUCGUAAAACUCUGUUAUUAGGGAAGAACAUAUGUGUAAGUAACUGUGCACAUCUUGACGGUACCUAAUCAGAAAGCCACGGCUAACUACGUGCCAGCAGCCGCGGUAAUACGUAGGUGGCAAGCGUUAUCCGGAAUUAUUGGGCGUAAAGCGCGCGUAGGCGGUUUUUUAAGUCUGAUGUGAAAGCCCACGGCUCAACCGUGGAGGGUCAUCGGAAACUGGAAAACUUGAGUGCAGAAGAGGAAAGUGGAAUUCCAUGUGUAGCGGUGAAAUGCGCAGAGAUAUGGAGGAACACCAGUGGCGAAGGCGACUUUCUGGUCUGUAACUGACGCUGAUGUGCGAAAGCGUGGGGAUCAAACAGGAUUAGAUACCCUGGUAGUCCACGCCGUAAACGAUGAGUGCUAAGUGUUAGGGGGUUUCCGCCCCUUAGUGCUGCAGCUAACGCAUUAAGCACUCCGCCUGGGGAGUACGACCGCAAGGUUGAAACUCAAAGGAAUUGACGGGGACCCGCACAAGCGGUGGAGCAUGUGGUUUAAUUCGAAGCAACGCGAAGAACCUUACCAAAUCUUGACAUCCUUUGACAACUCUAGAGAUAGAGCCUUCCCCUUCGGGGGACAAAGUGACAGGUGGUGCAUGGUUGUCGUCAGCUCGUGUCGUGAGAUGUUGGGUUAAGUCCCGCAACGAGCGCAACCCUUAAGCUUAGUUGCCAUCAUUAAGUUGGGCACUCUAAGUUGACUGCCGGUGACAAACCGGAGGAAGGUGGGGAUGACGUCAAAUCAUCAUGCCCCUUAUGAUUUGGGCUACACACGUGCUACAAUGGACAAUACAAAGGGCAGCGAAACCGCGAGGUCAAGCAAAUCCCAUAAAGUUGUUCUCAGUUCGGAUUGUAGUCUGCAACUCGACUACAUGAAGCUGGAAUCGCUAGUAAUCGUAGAUCAGCAUGCUACGGUGAAUACGUUCCCGGGUCU
rnacentral:rRNA from 1 species